AUUGAACGCUGGCGGCAGGCUUAACACAUGCAAGUCGAACGAGUGGCGGACGGGUGAGUAAUAUUUGGGAAUCUGGCUUAUGGAGGGGGAUCACGUCGGGAAACUGUCGCUAAUACCGCGUACCAUAGGAUGAGCCCAAGUGGGAUUAGGUAGUUGGUGGGGUAAUGGCCUACCAUGCGGACGAUCUCUCGCGGGUCUGAGAGGAUGACCAGCCACAACGGGACUGAGAGACGGCCCGGACGCCGACGUGAGGCAGCAGUGGGGAAUAUGGCGCAAUGGGGGCAACCCUGACGCAGCCAGGCCGCGUGAAUGAAGAAGGCCUUCGGGGUGUAAAGUUCUUUCGGUAUUGAGGCGUUAAAUACAGAAGAAGCACCGGCUAACUCCGUGCCAGCAGCCGCGGUAAUAG
rnacentral:rRNA from 1 species